rnacentral:rRNA from 1 species
AUGGAUGGAAACUCAAGAUCUUCAUCAAAACGAGCGAAGUUGUUGGUCAUGAGGAUGGGUCCUCAGAUUAAGAAGCUCUCCAUCAAGCAACAAAAUGAACGUCUGGAGAUUGAGAACAAAAUACUGGCGAUAGAGAACCACAAAAUGCGCGAGGAGUUGAGGACAUACCGAUGUGUUGCUUGCUUGAAGAUUGAAAAUGCCUGCCUGAAAGCUGAGCUUGCACGCUCGUUUCGUAACACUGCUGCAAUUCUAGAAGCUGAAGCACAAUUUGAAGUGGAGGUUGGGUUUUCCUCUACAGCACCCCAGAUUCCAGCGGAUACUAGCGCAACUGGACCACUCCAGCCAGGUGCAGCAGGGAGCCAAGAUGAAUCACGCGAGUAA